UGUGUACCUCCACCGCUAUCUUAUCCAUUCGUCUCCACCCACCGAGAUUCAUCUGCAUCCAGCUCCCUUCUCUAGCUCCAUCCCUCUUUCUCAUCCCCGUGCUUCCACAAAUAUGCAGCGCUAGAUGUGCAAAGUCGCUGGCAUCCCCCCGUUCCACCGGAGCGAGCGCCGCCACCGGAUCUCGUCCCCUCCGCUCCCUCUCCCCUGCCGUCGGCGCACGCCCCGGCCACGGUGCGGUCGCGGCAGACCUUCAGCUGGAUCUGCACCUCGCACAGCUUGCAUGCCGGCAUCCUCUUCCACUCCUUCCCCUUGGACGGCCACCCUCAGGUUCUCCGACGAGAUCCGCGUGUGACGCGCCGCGUGAUGGAGACGUCGACAUCAGGGGUCUCUCCCUCCCGUCCGCGUCAAGGCCGGAGGGGACUGCCGGCGGCGGACAGCAAGCGAGCGAGCGUACGAUGGCCGCCCUCGCCGUCGGGAUGGCUCGCUGCAGGGCAUCCUCCUCAUCCUGAUUCUCUCCGUCGGGAUGGCCUCAGAGUCCGCGCUGGUGGGCGACAGGUGAGCCACGGGCUCGCUGUCGUCGUGCGGCGCUGGGAUGCAUUGCGCCUCCUGCUCCCCACUCGCCGGGAGCCCCUGCUACGCCACCCUGUGCACCCCGUUCGCCGCGGCGGCCUCCAACACUGCCGGUGCGGUCAGAAACAGUCUAGAUGCUUUAUUAUUUAUUUACUAAAACAGGGAGUGCGGGUUGAUAUCAUUUAAACCGAGGGGCCUUUUUGAAAAACUGCCACGACGACGGACGACAGAAACCCAAUUCUCUUUAUUAUAUAUAAAAUAAAUAAAUAUAAAUAUAAUAAAAAUAAAUAAAUAAAUAAAAUAAAUAUA